rnacentral:rRNA from 1 species
UACAGAGGGUGCGAGCGUUGUCCGGAAUCACUGGGCGUAAAGGGCGCGUAGGUGGCGCCGCAAGUCCAUGGUGAAAGCUCGAUGCUCAACAUCGAGUCGGCCACGGAGACUGCGGGGCUCGAGCACUGUAGGGGCAGAUGGAAUUCCGGGUGUAGCGGUGGGAUGCGUAGAGAUCCGGAAGAACACCGGUGGCGAAGGCGGUCUGCUGGGCAGUUGCUGACACUGAGGCGCGACAGCGUGGGGAGCAAACAGG